CACACCUUGUAACGCUAGCGUACGUGUCUAAUAUGCUACUCAGGCUAACUUAGCUACCGAACUAGCAGCCCUUUUGCUCGACCUGUCACUCCAUCCCCUUUUACCCUCGAGUCACGGCAUUACAUUAUCCUGCAACCAUCAUCUGCAGAGAGGCAGCAUCCUGAGUGAGCCAUCCCACUGUUGAGCUGUCUGACCUGCCGACCAGUCGCUCCACGCUUGUGACCGCUGUAAAACAUCCCAUCAAGCUUCAUCUGAUCAGGUUUGAACACCACAAAUGAAAUUCCCCUUAUCUGCCGCGCGCUGCGGCAGAGACACACAUCACUAAGACAGAUAUCUCAAAAACCGGGGCAAAGUUAACCGGAUUUAUCUGCAUGAUUAGGUAA